UCCAGUUAUAUUAAUGUUACAUUUUAUUUUGCAUUAUUUGUGCAAUUGAGACUCAUUAUCCAAAGUUCAGAAAGAAGUAAAAUGUAAAAUGAAGAAACCAAGCUCAUGUUUUUCAUCAGGUGAUGUUUGAUUUAGAUUCCUGAUCAUCAAGGUGAGGUGACACAUCAGCAGGUAUAAAUAACGGAGUCUGAACGUCGGAGACACAGAGGAGAAGCAGAAGUUUGGAAUCAAGUUCAUUCCAGCUGCAGGGAAUUUCAUUGUGCUGCAAGUCAAACUCCAGAUUUUCAUCAAGUUUGAUCAAUUUAUCCAGAUCAACAGUAAAGAUGAAGCUGUUAUCACUUCUCUUCCUCCUGGCUCCACUGCUGAUCAGCUGUGAAGCGGCUGAGGACCAACUGCCACGUGAUUGCAAUGACAUCUA